GUGGGGAAUAUUCCGCAAUGGACGAAAGUCUGACGCAGCAACGCCGCGUGGGUGAUGAAGGCCUUCGGGUCGUAAAGCCCUGUAAGGAGGGAAGAAUUUUGACGGUACCUCCAAAGUAAGCACCGGCUAACUCCGUGCCAGCAGCCGCGGUAAUACGGAGGGUGUAAACGUUGUUCGGAAUCAUUGGGCGUAAAGCGCACGCAGGCGGUUCGUCAGGUCGGGUGGGAAAUCCCAGGGCUCAACCCUGGCACUGCGCUCGAAACCGGCGGACUAGAAUUCCGCAGGGGAAGGUGGAAUUCCUGGUGUAGGGGUAAAAUCCGUAGAUAUCAGGAGGAAUACCAAUGGCGAAGGCAGCCUUCUGGGCUUGAAUUGACGCUGAGGUGCGAAAGCGUGGGGAGCAAACAGGAUUAGAUACCCGUGUAGUCC
rnacentral:rRNA from 1 species